UCAUUUUCUCUCAUACACUCCUCUUUACUCUUUUAUCCUCUCUCACCGGUACUUCCACACCACCAUCACCACCAUUUCUACCAUCAUUUUCCGGCGAGAUCACUGGAAAAUUCUUUGAGAACCUAUAAACACCUUCACAUCCUUUUUUGAGUCUUUGUGACAAUGGAAUCAAAUCCAGGUCAAUACCCUUUCACUUUGGAUGAUGCAUUCUUCCCUGCUGCCCAUGAGGGGAAGAGGUUCCUUGAUUAUGUGUGGGUGAGGCUAUUGCCUUUGGGGCCAAGAGAACACAUGCAAGAGAGGUCCUAUUUGACACGCUCUCUUUGUUGCCCAUGGGGGGAGAGAAAAACCUCGAGGGUAUGGGUGAGGCUGCUGUCCAUGGGGCCAAGAGUCUGCAUACUUGAGAGGACAAUAUCAUACUAGUUGUGAAUUGGUGGAUCCCCUGACCAGUCUAUAUGGUAGUGUGGUAUAUUUAUGAUAAUUUACCUUAUGUUAGAUAUUAUGAUUUUGGAAAUUAUAUUGUUGGUGCUCACAGAUUCUAGUA